rnacentral:misc_RNA from 1 species
AACGCACAUUGCGCCCGCCAGCACUCUGGCGGGCAUGCCUGUCCGAGCGUCAUUUCAACCCCCCUCGAGCGCCCCCCCGGGGGCCCGGCGUUGGGGGACGGCCGCAGCGCCGCCCCCGAAAUGCAGUGGCGACCUCGCCGCGGCCUCCCCUGCGCAGUAGCACCUACCUCGCAAGCGGAGCGCCGGCGACGGUCACGCCGUAAAACCCCCGACCCCCCUAGAGUUGACCUCGGAUCAGGUAGGAGUACCCGCUGAACUUAA